UACAGAGGUCCCAAGCGUUGUUCGGAUUUACUGGGCGUAAAGGGUGCGUAGGCGGCCUUGCAAGUCGGAUGUGAAAGCCCACGGCUCAACCGUGGAAGUGCAUCCGAAACUGCAUAGCUUGAGUCUCGGAGAGGAAGGUGGAAUGCUUGGUGUAGAGGUGAAAUUCGUAGAUAUCAAGCAGAACACCUGCGGCGAAGGCGGCCUUCUGGACGAUGACUGACGCUGAGACGCGAAAGCGUGGGGAGCAAACAGG
rnacentral:rRNA from 1 species